rnacentral:misc_RNA from 1 species
GGUGUGACCUAGGUGUGUGGCAGCCCCGACCCCUCCCUCACUGGUCAAUCUGGCUUCCGAGCUGGACCCUAUACAUCACGUUAUCGGAGUCAGAAGAUGACCAUGAUGAAACCAAAGGACAAGGGAAAAGAUCCUGCCACACCUAUUAGGGUGUCUGGUCAUGAACAGCCAAGGCCCCAAAUCAUUGAACCACCGGACGGCGGCUGGGGUUGGGUCGUGACCUUCGCUUCGUUCCUUUGCAAUGUGAUUGUGGACGGGAUAUGUCUUUCGUAUGGGUCGAUAAAGCAAGUCUUUGAGGACCACUUUGGUGUCACGGCAACAGCAUCGACCCUGAUUGGCUCUCUGUUAACAGGCAGUUACCUCAUGAUUGGUCCUUUUGCAAGUACACUGGCCACGAAAUAUGGAUGUCGUAAGGUUACCAUUGCUGGCAGUAUCUUUGCAGCGGCUGCAUUUUUUAUUAGUAGUUUUUCAUCCAGCAUCCAGAUGUUGAUAGUGACCUAUGGAAUUCUGGGAGGCAUCGGAUUUGGAUUUAUCUACCUUCCUUCAAUUGUGAUAAUCGGGUAUUGGUUUGAGAAAAAACGAGCUUUUGCUACAGGGGUUGCAGUUUGUGGAAUGGGUCUCGGUACUUUUAUCUUCCCACCUCUUACUGAGUACUUGCUGCAGAAGUACAACUGGCAAGACUGUGUGAUAAUCAUAUCAGGACUGAUACUCAACUGUGCCGUGUGCGGAGCCCUUUUUCGUCCGGUCCGUCCACAGACGAAGCGGAUGAAACGGGGCUUCGUCGCACGGGGCUCGAUCAUGCGAGCCCUCAUUGAGGAGAAAAAGCGACAGCGUACCAUAUCUAACGGAUCUCUCGACAACUGUAUCAUCACCAACGACAACCGUCUCAUCAAAUUGGAUUGUAUCGGCUCCAACCGUAGCAGUAUUGCAUCCUACUUUCAGCGGUCGAGGAGCCCACACAGUUCAAAGUGCCCCAGCAGGAGCAGCCUGCUACCACAAAACAUAGUUGUCGAGUCCUUUAGGGUGGAUGGCACGACUACGAAACCCAUGAGCUCAAACUUGCUGAAACCCCCUGCUGUCCCAGCUAUCCACUCGAUGGACAUUCCUGAAAGCAACAAGCUGAUCACGAACAGUGUGUCCCUUAUGCCCAAAGCGAAAAGUUGUGAUUCCCUCACGCCUGAGGACCCUUGGGACAAACUCUCUGAGGAGGGCUCAUUGAGCACUCGUAGCCUCAGUUAUGUCGGCGUCAGUGACUCGCGUAUUGAGAUAAACACGCCCUCGGCUGAGGCAUCGGCUGUGAACAGCACGUCGGCGAGCCCAUGCGAAAGCAGGUGCGAAAGCCGACAGACUAUUAACACAUCAAACCAGGAAGACCCCCCCAAAUGUUAUCUUUACAAUUGUAACAGUGAUUUACCACCUUGCCUUAUGGGCUCCAGUAUUGUUAGCAUUGCUAAAUUCCAGGCCAGUAUUCGAAGUUUGGAAAGCAUUUACGAAAACAAUGGACACUCAAGAAAACUUCUACAGAUGUUCCAGGAAAUAAUUGAUCUGUCACUAUUCCGAAAUUUGACGUUCUGUGUUUUGCUUCUCUCUACAUUUCUUAGCAUGUUAGGUUUUUUCAUCCCGGUUGUCUAUUUGCCCGCAUUGGCCCAGCAAAUUGGCAUGAACAGCCAGGAAUCAUCAUACCUCGUGUCGGUCAGCGGUGUUACGAACAUUGUUGGACGGCUACUCUCAGGUUUUCUGGCUGACCGUCCAGUCUUCGGUGCGCUACACAUCAACAACACAGCACUCAUAAUGGUAGGAUUGUGCACCAUCUUCUGCCCGUUUCUCAAAGACAAGACCACGCUCAAUAUCUACAGCGGCAUCUAUGGUCUUGGAGUGGCUGCCUUUGUCUCACUGAGGUCCGUUUUACUUGUGGAUCUACUCGGCUUGGGUCAACUGACCAAAUCGUUUGGAUUACUUACGCUUUUCCAAGGUAUUGCCACAAUGGCAGGACUACCACUAGGAGGUUACCUCGAAGAUAUUACAGGAGAUGUGAACGCCACUUUUUAUAUGAGCGGCGUGAUGCUGACAUUGUCAGGUGUGAUCUCGCUCCCGCUCAACCGACUGAAGAAGUGGCAAGAGCAACGCGACCAAGGCAGCCCCGAAGAGGAGCCGAUCAAUGACCAAGAGGCCAAAACUGCGAGCCCGUCAGACAGCGGUGUCAGCGAAUUAUUUAAGACCGAGGAGUUUGUACAGAAUUAGAGAGUACUCCUUGUUUCUGUUUUUUUUUUUAUCUAUUUUGUUUUACGAAUACCAGGUUACCUCGAAGAGGUCACAGGAGAUGUGAAUGCCACUUUUUACAUGAGCGGCAUCAUGCUCACACUGUCUGGCGUGAUUUCGCUGCCCCUCAACCGACUCAAGAACUGGCAGAUGCGGCGUGACCAACGAGACUU